rnacentral:rRNA from 1 species
CCUACGAGCGGCAGCAGUGGGGGAUAUUGCACAAUGGGGGGAACCCUGAUGCAGCGACGCCGCGUGGGUGAAGGAGUGCUUCGGCAUGUAAAGCCCUAUCGGCAGGGAAGAAGCAAGACGGUACCUGACUAAGAAGCCCCGGCUAACUACGUGCCAGCAGCCGCGGUAAUACGUAGGGGGCGAGCGUUAUCCGGAUUCACUGGGUGGAAAGGGAGCGUAGACGGGCAUGCAAGCCAGGGGUGAAAGCCCGGGGCCCAACCCCGGGACUGCCCUUGGAACUGCAUGGCUGGAGUGCGGGAGGGGCAGGCGGAAUUCCUGGUGUAGCGGUGAAAUGCGUAGAUAUCAGGAGGAACACCGGCGGCGAAGGCGGCCUGCUGGACCGCGACUGACGUUGAGGCUCGAAAGCGUGGGGAGCGAACAGGAUUAGAUACCCUGGUAGUC